rnacentral:lncRNA from 1 species
CGGUUCCGCCCUGGGUGGGGAGAAGCCCUGCUGCACCACUCGGGCUUCCCAGAGCGGGGCUGGCCCGCGGGGGAAACUGAGGCCCGGGACCCCGACCGGCGCCUGCACGGCGCUGGUAGGAGUGCUGUCACCGACGUCGUAGAGCCGCCGAGGGUGUUUCUGUAGGGUAAACAUGAAGCCUCGGCUAUAUUCCAGGCAUUUUCACUUGGAAACAUUUUACAUAAAGUAUUUGAAGGUCUAGAUAAAGAAUAACAGAGUGAUCCAUACUACAUGAUGAGGUAUUGUGCAGGAAAAAAAACUACUUCUGCAACUAAGGAAUGUAAAGUCUUAACAACGGAUGAUUUUUUUCCAAGUACAGUUGUAUUUGAUUGGAAUCAUUUGCAGAUCCAACAACAAAUCUUGAAAUAGGGGGAAAAUACAGGAGCUGUCCAAACACCAUGCAGAUGCUCCUAGGAUUCUUAAACUAGCCAAAAAUAAUUCCAGGCAUUGUCAGAUAUAGGAUAAGUACAUGAAGACAUAUUUUGCUUCUUGUCUUGGCUGACGUCAUCAUCACACAACCAGUUUCUCAAGCUGAAACAUGAGUCAUCCUCUUCCUUCAUCUCUCUCACCCUCCAAAAACAAUUGUCAACCAUGCUCUGUCAAUUAUACUGCAGAAACGUUACUCAAAUGUAAUUCCUUCAUGUAUCUCCGCAUUCCCUUGCCUUUCACAUUCCUGGAACACAAGUGCCCAAUAAGUAUUUGUUGAUUAGUAAUUGCCCAAUGAAUGCUGUAAGAAGAAAAGAUGAAGAAAAGGAGAAAACAAGGUAAGGAAAGGAAGGAGGGAGAUGGAAGGAAGGAAAGAGGUAGAUGUUUCCAAAGCAUGCUUUACAAAGACAUGAGCCAUUUUGUGGAUAACUGUAGCAUUGUUACCUUAUGUUUACUGGAGAAAAAAUAAAAUGAAUAAUCAUAAUAACAAUGACAAAAAAGUUAUUUUCCUUCCCAAUAUUUUUUCCUUGACAAUACCAAACUAAAAGUUUCACUCUGGUUAUUACGAUCUCUAUUCUGGUUAUUAUGCCAUACAAAGAUGAACUCAUUGACAAAGAAAAAUAUCAAGAAUCUUCCCCUGAUGACAAAGUGUAGCCCCGAAACAUAAUAGAAGGUCUGUGUUACCCUUUGUGGCAUCCAGGGGAUUUAUCAUCCCACUCCAAUACCCCCACCUAGGAGAGAACCUGUCAGCCUCUCCAGUAAUUUCUGCCACGAUGCUCACUGGGCCCUUACGUAGACUGACUGACUUCUCUAUUGCUACUUAUCUUGUAUCUUUAAGGCCAUGUGAACUCGAUUGAAUUACAAGUCUUUGUAGGCAGUUGCUAUGCCUUAUAUGUUCUUUAAUUUUCCUAGUUCUUAUUGAUUGAUUUAUGUAUUCAGAAACUCUCUGUUGAGUGCCUGCUCUGUACCAGACACUGUGCAAGGCACUAUGGGUAUAACUGUGAAAAGAACAGAAAAUAUAUCCAUUAUUCUGUACAUCCUCACAGAGGCUGUAAAUAAAUACUGUUGACAUUAGUUAUGAUAAUUCCCAACCCUAAUUAUCUGGGCAGAGUCAUAAACAGUGAGACUGUAGGCUGAAACUGACCUACUAAAUUGGAAUCCUACUUGCUGCAAUAUGACCUUGCCGGGCUGGUCAUCGGUGGAGCCUUGUGAUCUAUACAGAAUAUUGAGCAUUAGUCGCAGUAGCGAAGACACGGAAACAACCUAAGUGUUCACCAACAGAUGAAUGGAUGAAGCAAAUGUAGCAUAUAUACACAGUGGAAUACUAUUCAGCCUUUAAAAAGAAGGAAAUCUGGCUAACUGCAACAACAUGGAUGAACCUGGAGGAUAUUAUAUAAGUGAAAUAAGCCAGGCAUGGAAAGUUUUUGUAGAGAUGAAGUCUUGCUGUGUUGCCCAGGCUGGUCUCCAACUCCUGUACUCAAGCUAGCUUCCUGCUUUGGCCUCCCAAACUGCUGGAAUUAAAGAUCUUAUCCAUUCUUUGGAAUCCUCAAAGCUCCACUAUACUCAAAAGUUGUCUGCCCUAUUGCUCAACAAGAUAAAAUGUCUGGGCUGGUGGCUGGAGGCUGGAGGAAGAAUCUGGAAAGAGAGAGAGACUGUGGAAAAGGCAUAGAAAGACCUUUGAACUAGCAGAACAUAUUUCUUUGAGGGACUUAGGAACUUCAUUCUGCUGCCUCAGCCCAGCUGACUCUUCUCCCAACUGCACAGCUGGCUCCUCAUCUUUCAAACUUCAUCUAAGAUAUAUUUCCUCCUAGAAACCUUCAUGGGCUGUCCACUCUAAAGUGUCCUCCUUCUCAGGGCAAAUCUGUUUCCAAUGCCUGUUAAGUACAAAACACCGUGUGGACAUGUUCCUAUUCUCAAGACGUUUGCUAUACAGUAGGAAGGAGAGGAGGGCCUGCUCUCUGCCAAACACUGUCCUAGGAGUUUUGCACAAUCCAUUGAGUAUUCUCUAUAUUUUUAACAGCCCUGAGAGAGUCUGGAUCCAUUGCAGCCAUUUUGAAAUUAACAAAUAAUAAGGGAAGGCCAACAAGGACAGAUGUAUAAAAGUAUAAUGAAUCAUAACAAGAGCUUCAUCCUCCUGGGUCUGGAGGCUAGAAGGUUGAAAUCAAGGUAUUAGCAGAGCCAUGUUUCCUCUGAAGGCUGUAGGUUAAUGGCUUUGUUUGGUAGAACAUACCCUUCAUCUUCUUUCUGAAUAAGAAUUCAUGGCAUGAACACGAGGACAGGAGCAACAGACACUGGGUCUACUUGAGAGUGGGGGGCGCGAGGAGUGAGAGGAGCAGAAAAAAAUAGGGCAAUCUUCCCAAAAGGUACACAGCUCUGGACGUACCAACACUCUAUUUAAAAACCAGUAAGGUAGAGUGGAAGGCAGAGCUGAGUGAAACUGAAACCUGGUAUUUGCUGGAGGUUUCUUUCUGGAAAGCUGACAGCACACCUCUGACCCUCUCCAAAAGGUCUGAUAUGAAAUAUUGCGACAAAGUUGGAAUCAACUGGCAGGCAUUUCAGUAGAUGUGCUAAUAGCAUGCAACAAUGGGAAGGCGCCAAAACUGAACUGAGGUGGUGAAAUGAGGUAGAGAUAAGCAAGUACCGCAAAAAAGGAGGCAAGAGAAAUGGCAAAACUGGGGUGGUUCAAAGAAGGAAACAGGGUUUGAUGCCAAUGGUUAUUGUCUGGCUUAUUCGAGUAGUUUUUAAAGGGAGAGGAAGGGAGAGGUGUGUCGCUACCUGCUGGUACUGUGGUGUGCCUUUAUUGCGUUUGGACAUCCAAGCAGACCUAUUUAUUUGUUCCCUAAGCAAAUAUUUAUUGAAUAUGUAUUAUGUCCUAGGCACUGUGUAUCAGAAAUAACUGCAUAUAUGAGCCUUGGAGGGUGAUUGUGGUUGAUAUGCAUUGACAUGGGUGAAAGGGAAGAGACAUAUUUUCAACUUUGUAUUUUUCAACACAUCCAGCUGCGUGCUUUCAGCCCAGCAGGUGCUCAAAAUAGGUUUACUGAGGUGAAAACCAAUUCUUGCCUCUAAAGGGUGUUCCAUGGUCUCACAGGAAUUAGGAAGGAGUGAGGAGCAUCUUUAGUAAAUAAACAAUGUGCUCAUAGCAUAAAAAAUACA